GAGAGAGCGGAAACCUCUCUCGCCUUAAAAAAAAAAAAAAAAAAAAAAAAAAAAAAAAAAAACAACUCUCUGAUUUAAGCUCUCUUCUACCAGCGCUAUCAAAACUUGAACUGCAAACUGGCUUCCGUUCGCCCUCCUCCUCCUUCCUCUGCUCCGAGCCUCCGGAGGGUGUCUGGGUUGCAAUCCGAGUCUUGCCGUGCUCUCCUCCCGCGCCUGUCUUCCUUGUCCUAAAACUCCAGCAGAAAUGAAUUCACGAGGAAGAGGCCGGAGAAUUUUUCCUCUCGUCUUAUCUGACCCAGAAUCAGCAAGACGCAGGCCAGAGCUGGCUUGGCCGUCAGGCACUUUUGACCACCCAACACCUUUGUUUAUUCAACAUCCUCUUUCCAGAUUUUCAGUCGAGACAGAUUUCGUUCGGUUGAUCGAUGAAGGAGACAAGUUGACCCACCGUGAGGUUGACCCGCCGUGAGCUCUGUCUCUGCUUUAGUCUCUCACUCCCUCAGUUGCACCUGGAAUCCGGACUCUGAAGUGGAGGUCAGAACGUCCAGNNNNNNNNNNNNNNNNNNNNNNNNNAGCCAACCGAGUGGAUCCCAUGCGCUCCCUGCCGUGCCCAGCGCCCAGCCCCUUCCCAAGCCGCCUCCAG
rnacentral:lncRNA from 1 species